CAACUAAGGGCGCGCGGUGGAUGCCUAGGCUCUCGGAGGCGAUGAAGGACGCGAUAAGCCGCGAUAGGCCACGGCGAGGUGCAAGUAACCCUUGACCCGUGGAUUUCCGAAUGGGGCAACCCGGCCGUCUAGAUGACGGUCAUGCAUUAAUGCAAGCGAACGCGGGGAACUGAAACAUCUCAUUACCCGCAGGAGAAGAAAACAACUGUGAUUCCCCCAGUAGUGGCGAGCGAACGGGGAAGAGCCCAAACCGCUGCCGUUUCGGCGACAGCGGGGUCAUGGGACCGCGACAUUCGACGUGAGACGAAGUGCAAUUACCUGGAAAGGUAAGCCGUGGAGGGUGACAGCCCCGUGCACGACACCUCUCACGAAGAUAGCGGAAUCCCGAGUAGGGCGGGACACGAGAAAUCCUGCCUGAAUUCGCCAGGACCUCC
rnacentral:rRNA from 1 species